rnacentral:rRNA from 1 species
GGGUGCGAUCAUACCUGCACUAAUGCACCGAAUCCCAUCAAAACUCCGCAGUUAAGCUUGCUUGGGCAAGUGUAGUACUAGGAUGGGUGACAUCCUGGGAAGUCCUCAUGUUGCACCCC